UUUUUCUUUUUAUAGUACCCUUACGCACGAACAAUUACUAGUAAAAAAAUAAAAUAAAAACGAAGGUAGGCGGCCUUUGAAAGCCAGGAGUCCAAGACCAAAAACAAAAAAAUCGGACUCGGAAACAAACUCAGAGAAGCCGAAAGGCCCGAAACUGAGAAGCGAGGGAGAGAGAGAAGAAAAUCUGAAUCUGAAAUGGAGGUACCGGGAUCGUCGAAGAAGAUGAUCGCGACGCAGGCGGAGAUGGUGGAGACGAGGGU
rnacentral:lncRNA from 1 species